rnacentral:lncRNA from 1 species
UUAUUAUCACUACAAUAGGCCUGCACUUUAGUCCAAUGGAUCAGCCAUUGCCAUUGGAUAACUCCUUAUCUGCUUUCGAAAGGAAGAAAUAAGGCAAGAAUAAUAGCUUUGAUACUGGAAAAGUAAUUUUAACGAACCGUCAUUGAUGCAAAAGUUUGCUUAGUUUGUUCCUCUGACUUCAAAAUGUUAUGAUUUGUCUGGAUCGAGUAAUUGGAAUAGGAUAUUUUUUGAAGAAAAAUUUGAGUCAUUAUUUUGGAAAUUCCAAUUUUUAAUUUCAGAAAAAAGAUAUUGUCACAAAAAUUGUAAAAUUAAAAUGAAUAACAAAAAGGUUUGGAAUACUUUAGAUCUAAUGUUUCUUUUUUUUUAAUAUUUAAUAUUAGUUGUGUCUGAAAAUCAAAACUACUAACAUUAGAAAAAUGUUAUAGUCAAAAUAAGCAAUAAAAAAAAAUUAAUUCUUCUAUCAACAACAAUACUUACGCCUCUAUGGCUGCAAAUCCUCCCUCUCCACCAAAUCAUACCUUUCCUUCCUCGGCCUUAACCCCAACCAACAAUCCAAACCAGAAAUCCUUAGGUCAUCAACUUCCCCCUCAUCAACUCCUCUACUUACAACGAAUUAAAUCCUCCUUUACCAGUAGUAACGAAGCACCCGUUAUCACUAGAAAUAAUACCAAAAACACCAUUACCCGUGGCUAAUGCAAAAGAAGCCUUCAUCCUGGAGAUAGCGAAAAACCCGUUUCCAACAUCAAGGCUUAUCAAAGUCACGAAAUGCAAAUUUGAACCAAAUUUAUUGGUUUAUUAGUUGGUCUAUUACAAUAUCCUACGCCUCCAGGGCUGCAAAGCUACCAACUUAUACCUGUCCAUCCCGAACCUAUAAUAUCUACACCCAAAAACCUUAAAACCACAACUCUACCCUCUAAAUGUUUCUUUAUCGUAUGAAGAAUAAAAUCCUAGUCUUCCUUCUGUUACCAAACAUCCCUUAUAGUCGUACCAAAAGCCCCAAUGCCGGUGACUGCCACGAAAGAGGCUCGAUGCCGGAGAAGGCAAGUCCUUCUUCAGCAUCAAUACUUAUUAAAGACUCGAAAUACACAUUGAAGUCUAAUUGAAAGAUCAAUUGAUCCCAUAAGAGAAAAACCUGUACUUAUGAAAAUUUCCAAGAAAUCUCUUGGGGAGGAAGAAGAACUUUAUGACCGAAAUGUAAGUUCAACUAAAUUAUCAUGAUAUAUAAAUAUAUAUAUAUGUAUACAACAACUAUUUAUUCAAGGAUACACUAUUAAACACUAUAUGACAAUUAAACCUCCCUUAAGCAAUUUGAAAUUCUGAGGUCGGAUUUUAAUAAUC